rnacentral:rRNA from 1 species
GACGAACCGUCCGAACGUUAUUCGGAAUCACUGGGCUUAAAGAGUGCGUAGGCGGCUUAUCAGGCGGGGUGUGAAAUCCCUCGGCCCAACCGAGGAAUUGCGCUCCGAACCGAUAGGCUUGAGGAGGAUAGGGGUAAGCGGAACAGAUGGUGGAGCGGUGAAAUGCGUUGAUAUCAUCUGGAACACCUGUGGCGAAAGCGGCUUACUGGGUCCUUUCUGACGCUGAGGCACGAAAGCCAGGGUAGCGAACGGG